AGGGUAGAUGAAAGCACGUCUAAGCUGAAGCAAGCUAAAAUGUCUGAAGAGGUAAGAUUGUGAAAACUAUAUAAAGAUAUUUUUUUCGCUAUUUACUUUCUUUAAAUAUACUUUUGGGUUUUUUUUUUUGCAGGCAGCAAACGAAGAGUCAGGACGAGAUGACGAGGAGACGGUCGUUGCAUCUCAAGUUUCUACGCUGGGGAAGCAAAUAUAUCCUGCGAUUUCCUACUGGGUUGCAUGGCAGAUUACCUUUUUAGAUGGAGACAAGGAUAACUAUUCUGGCAGUGACGCAGAGACGUUCAACAAGCUGAGUAUCGCAACUGCCAGCCUUUCAGCAUGCGAAAGCGACAGCUCAACAUUUUACUAGAGAAGAUGAAAGGAGAGAGGAGUUUGCGACCGCAACUAAACAAGGCCCGUAAAUCUAAAAUGCUGAAAAGCCGAAGUAAAGGCUGGUGGAUCUGGGAGUUCCACACAACUUGCUGGAAUUAUUACCGGAAGACCCCGAAGAUGCAAUGCCCGAGGAAAUAAUCGUAGAACUACGGCGGAUUAGAGAGGAUCACCAGAAGUCUGAGGCUGAGAAAAGGAAAGUCAUGGCAAGAGCGGCAUUCAAGAGCCAUUGGGUGCGAGCGACUGAGACUGAGCUGCACCGAUGUUCGUCGAGAUUGCAAUCAAUCUCGGAGAACGAGGCGUUGAAAAGCACUAAAGCGUUGGUGCAACUUGUUAGCGACAAGCUCAAAAGUCAGCAUACCAACACUCGUACUCUGGCUUGCGAGACAGCGAUUGAGGAAAGACGGAAGACGUGAAUCAGCUGGGGGCUCCUUGACCAACGAUGUGCGCAUUUGUAGCUAAACUUAUGGGAUCCGCUACAAAGCUGCGACGAUGAGGCAGACAGUGACCAAUAUUCUUUGGUUCGAGACAGCGGAUGUCCAUCCCAGACACACACCCCUCCUCGCCAAGGCUCAAGUGACGAUAUGCCAGAGAUACCAAAGACCCCAUCAUGGAGCCCAAAACCAAACAGAUGGGAAUCACCAGGGAUAGAAUUGAUGGCAUUCACUACACCGGCCAAGCGCCGUUCCCUCACCCAGACUCCCAAGGGACGACGCAACCGACUCAAGUUUCGUAAACCGCAACCGACAGACAAUGGGCAAACAAGACUGGACGGUUUUCUCAGCCAAAUGUAAUCUUUUUAAUGUUCUGUAAACACGAUAUUCUUCCUGAUACUCUGUAUAACAAAGUCGCAAUAAAGUCUGAAUAAAGACGUGUGCCUUCAUAUA